UCCCAGUGAGGAAACACUGACACGUCUUCCCUCCUGUCCUGGUCCCAGAGCCUGUAAAGGCGAGCCCAUUGGGGCUGGCUGGGGGGAAGAGGAGAGCUUAUUCCAGAAGGAACGUCUGAGGGGU
rnacentral:snoRNA from 12 species